UACGUAGGUGGCAAGCGUUGUUCGGAAUUAUUGGGCGUAAAGGGCGCGUAGGCGGCCUGUUAAGUCGGCUGUGAAAGUCCAGGGCUCAACCCUGGAACGCCGGUGGAUACUGUCGAGCUCGAGUCCGGAAGAGGCGAGUGGAAUUCCUGGUGUAGCGGUGAAAUGCGCAGAUAUCAGGAGGAACACCAAUGGCGAAGGCAGCUCGCUGGGACGGUACUGACGCUGAGACGCGAAAGCGUGGGGAGCAAACAGG
rnacentral:rRNA from 1 species